CUCCAGACUCCUACGGGAGGCAGCAGUGAGGAAUAUUGGUCAAUGGACGAAAGUCUGAACCAGCCAUGCCGCGUGCAGGAAGACGGCUCUAUGAGUUGUAAACUGCUUUUGUACAAGGGUAAACCUGAACACGUGUAUUCAGCUGAAAGUACUGUACGAAUAAGGACCGGCUAAUUCCGUGCCAGCAGCCGCGGUAAUACGGAAGGUCCGGGCGUUAUCCGGAUUUAUUGGGUUUAAAGGGAGCGUAGGCCGGUCUUUAAGCGUGCCGUGAAAUUUUGUGGCUCAACCAUGAGAGUGCGGCGCGAACUGGAGACCUUGAGUGCGCGGAAGGCAGGCGGAAUUCGUGGUGUAGCGGUGAAAUGCUUAGAUAUUAGGAGGAACACCAGUGGCGAAGGCGGCUUACUGGACUGUAACUGACGUUGAGGCUCGAAAGCGUGGGGAGCAAACAGGAUUAGAUACCCCAGUA
rnacentral:rRNA from 1 species